rnacentral:rRNA from 1 species
UACGUAGGGCGCAAGCGUUGUCCGGAAUUAUUGGGCGUAAAGAGCUCGUAGGCGGUUUGUCGCGUCUGCUGUGAAAACCUAAGGCUCAACCUCGGGCUUGCAGUGGAUACGGGCAGACUAGAGUGCGGUAGGGGAGACUGGAAUUCCUGGUGUAGCGGUGGAAUGCGCAGAUAUCAGGAGGAACACCGAUGGCGAAGGCAGGUCUCUGGGCCGCAACUGACGCUGAGGAGCGAAAGCAUGGGGAGCGAACAGG